AAGAAAUUAGUUAAACUAUAACAUUAAAAUGUCAAUUUAAAGUAACUAAUAAAGUAUUUCUUG
rnacentral:tRNA from 1 species